GCAGUCAUGCAGUAGUAGUUAACUGGCAGCACUCCCAGGCGGCUUCGCCGAGUUGGUAAUGCUGAGACGUGGGUGCAAAUCCCACUGGCUGCA